ACCAAUGCGAUUGGGCCUAAAAUAAUUUCAAUGGCCCGUUCUAACAACAGCCCACUACAACUUCCAAACCUAGCUUGGUCGUCGCAGUCGAGCAACGACUCCUCCAUCACCUUCAUAGUCCCAUCUGGAAAUUCAUCGGUCUCUGCAACUAGGCGUUACGGUUGAUCCACUCUAAAUCAUUCAAUUCGGUUCUUAACUCCUUAUUUAAUGAGAUAUGGUAUCGUUCGACAUCCCUUUGUCUCCCCCUUCAUAAACCUUCAGUCCAACCAUAAUCGAAAACCUCAAUCGAAGAAUAUAAAGCUCUGGCCAUGAAACAUGCUCAGCCCUCUGGCAAGUCUCCUGCCGAACGGUGUGAUCUGAGGAUAUAGAGAGAGAGCAUAGAAGGCGCGAGAGUUAAUGAUUGUGGACAUGAUCCUGCUUGACGAGAAGUCAACUCUUAUCCAAGGGACGAUCCAUGCCAGCCGCCUCAAUACUUUCAGGCGUCGUCUCAGUGAAGGUUAUGUGUAUUCGCUUAGUGGAUUUGAGGUCACACGGAGCAACAAUAAUUUCCCACUCUCUGACUCCCCAGUCUCCAUUCGUUUCAACGAUAGAACGUCCUUCGCAGAAACGACAAACUCGAAGAAGGACAUUCCCACUGAGCUUUUUCGAUUCCGCAGCCACGAGCAGCUAUGAGCAUUGGCUAAUACGAACAGACAACUACCAUCUGAAGCGUGAACUGAUGUACCUAUCAAUUGUUAUUGGAACUGGGUGCAGCGGAUAUUGCUUACUAGCUUUAUCACCCCAUGUAAUGAUUGUUUUUCUUCUUAAAGUCAAUUAUUAAGAUUAAGAAUAUAUUGCAAAUAAGAUGAAUAUAGAUAUGAAGUUGGCCAGAGGUGAUCAGUUUUGGCUUAACCCAUCCAUAGUAUACCAUACUGAUUAUAGUUGUCAUUGUAAGUCAGACAACACUUUCUGCCUCAUUUUUAUUAUUUUCUUACAAAACAAAACCUUUUUCCUUCUGCAUCUCCUCAAUGGGACAAUAUAAUCAAUUUGUUUUGUAUAAUAAAGAGUAGCUAAUUGUGCUAUGAACGGUUGGAUAGUGUUUUUACACUCCCCAACACUCAAAAGCUCUAACCAGUCUAUACAAUGGCUUAACUUUGCUUCAUCAUUUAAUUAUUCGUGAGAAACUGUGUGUUUAAAGAAAUAUUGUUUUAUCGAAACAGAGUGCAGUCAGUUAUGGAGUUGGAGUUCUUUUCAGGUUAGUGCUCUAUUUUAAUGGUUGAAGAAAAAUAUACCUCGAGAUUGUAAUUUAUAAGUUCUGCAACAUACUACCUCGUGCACAAAGAAAAUAUAUCAUAACAAUAAACCUAUGGUGGGAUCUUACGAGACCAAUCAGAGAAGAAGCAAACCUAAGAAGAGAAGAAGAAGGAGAAGAAGAAGAAAAAUACAAAGAAGUCGAUUAUGAUGAAAACAAAGAGCAUAGAGAAGAUGGAAGUAGUAGUGGAAGAGGAAGACGAUGAUGAUGGAAUUGAUUAGCAGCAACUGUGUUGCUUACAGACACUGAAGUUCUCAAUUGGGAAUAUGCAUUUGGUAAUUGCGAGGCCUAACUUUGUGAAGCUAAUAAAACCUUCAAAGGAUUUGGACGGUUUUACAAUGCCAACAACUAUCCCAAGAAAGCAAGCGUGAGGGAAGAAGUGUAAACUUUGUAUUAAUGUUUGACCUUUAUAUAAAUAGUCCGAGAAAGUUGUGCUUUUGUAGUUUCUAUCGUUUUUAGCAAGCUCUUAAUUUGUAUUCCUAAGUUUCUUCAUCUCUUCACUGAGUCUAAGCACAUUAUUAAUUUGUUAAAACAGCUAAAAACAAGGAUCAUGGGUCUAUUGUAAACUCAAAUCUUCGUAUAUUUAAAAUUUAUAUUUCUACAUAGCCUAAACGUAAUCCGGUCCUACCAUUAUAUCAUUAGACAUCGUCUUGGAAUUAAGAAACCAGAUCCAUUAUACCAAAGAUAUACAAAUAAGAAACAAGACCUCAAGUCCAGCUUCCUUCAGUUUUUUUUUCCUUGCGCAUAUUAGAUACUGUGAUGUCAGUGUAGUUGCAUCCAGAGUCUGCUAUCCACAUCCAAUCUCUAGAACCUCAUGGUUUUCUACUUUCAUCUGAAGAUAUGAUGGGCCAAAAAUAUCAUUUAAAAUAAAAUAAAAUAUAAAAACUUUCGUGAUGCAAAUGAAAACGCGUAAAUAUAUAUAAAACGAAUUACAUAGAUAAUAGAAAUCAUACAUUUGAUCAAACAAAACGAAACUAACAUCCAGAAACAAUAACAUAACUACUGAUUUUAAUUUUACUAUUACCUUGUAUGUUUUUAAAAUUCUUAAUUUUGUUUUUGCUUUUCCUUAAAAUGGAUUGCUACUACCACAACUAGGAUUUGGACCCCCGCGAAAUCGCGGGGGAAGCCGUGUAUAUUAAAAUUAAAAUAGAAAAAUUUAAAUUACUAUAUAAAAUAGUAAGUAAAAUGAUAAUAUAUAGAAGUAAAUAUUGAAAAAAAAAGUAUAAAUGAUAUACUUAAAAUGAAAAUACAUAACUCAAAAUAUUUUUAAAUUAUUACAUAUCGAUUAGAAAUAAAAUGUAAAAAAAAUACUAUGCAAUCCUUCAAAUUUAAUGUUCAACAUUGUUAGUAACAUAUAAAAAAAAUGUACUAAACAGUGAGUUAUACGAGAGUGAUGUAAAUCUACAAAACAAAAAUUACAGUGUCGAAGAUUAUAAAUAUAUAAAUUUUGAUGGAAAAUAAAUUUUAUAAAAAAAUAUUUUAGACUACCGAAGAACUUGUAUGUUAAAUUAUGCGAUUAUUAAGGGAAUACAAAUGAAAGAAAAUAGUUUUUUUCUAAAUCAAGAUGUAAUACAUAUUCAACUAAGACUCUGCAAACUACUUUAUUACUUUUUGUCGCAGUUGUUUUCGAGUACUGCGUGUUAGACCGUCCACCCUUAUAUUCUGCAGAAAAAUAAAAUAAUUACUCUAAACAAAUUUGAAUACUUUAAAGAAAUAAUUCAAACCGGCCACCUUUAGUGUUCAAAUGUGUACACUGAGAAAUAACCAUUCAAAUCUGAAACAAGAAAAUAUCGUGCAAUAAAUGUUUAAUAUUAGAAUAUAAUAUUUUUAUGAAAAAUAAGUGUUAAAGAUGCUAUUUUAAUUAAAUAAGUGGUUACUAAAUAAAGUAUAUAUACUAAAAUUUAUAUUAGGAAUAUUACCAUUUGAUGAGGGUUUACUUUUUUUACGUAGAUUUCUAUUUAAAAUGAUUUUGGUAUUUGGAUCAUUUUAUACAUCUCUUAUUAUACAAUUGAAAUGAUUUUAAUAUUCUCUCAGUGAAUUGGAAUUCAACUCUACACUACUUUAGAUAAUUUUUAAUUAAUAUAAAAAUUAUUUCAAAAAAUCUUAAUUUGAGAGCAUUGUCAAACAAAAACCUACAAUUGAGUUGUUAUAUGAAAUAAAAUAAAAAUACUUUAAAAUACAACUAUAAAAAAUAUUUUUAGUAUCACAAACGGUUAUAACCAAAGACGAAUAUCCGAAGAAAAUAAGCUUUAACAAUGGUUGUCUAUUUUUAAUUGUUUAAUUUCAAAUAAUUACAGUAAUUUCUAAUGUUUCUUAAAUUUUUUUAUAAAAAUCAUGUAUACCAUCCUUCAAAUAUUAUGGCAAAAUGGUUCACUUUUAACAUAGAAGUAUCUCUUAAACUUAGGAUAAAAUUAGUGGGA